AUAGACCAACCUUUGGCCCAGCGCUGGGGGCACUAUAUAAGCUCUCCUAGACAGGAGAGCCAGGUAUUCUGAUUCAUUACUCAAUAUACUUUCUCUCUCUUCUUUUGUAUCUCUUGUUCUCUUGCUGACUUAGGCAUCGGAGCACCUGCAGGUACAAACCCCCCCUUCGGUGUGAAAGCUUGCUCAACGGACCGGCCUCAACCUUUCUGAUCA
rnacentral:lncRNA from 1 species